UUUUGGAAAAUGUAAGCAAAGCAAAUGUCUUAAUGAUUUUCAAUGAGAUAAGAAACCAUUGCACAAAAAGAAAAUACAAAAAAAAUCCAAACUACUAGGAGGAAAACACAAAAAAGAAAAAAACUUGAAGUAUCAAAAAAAAAAUUGCACAGACGUUAAAACCGGGAAACCGAGAAAAAAAAGGGACAUGAGAAACCAAAGACGACAUUCUUCUCUUGGUG
rnacentral:lncRNA from 1 species